rnacentral:rRNA from 4 species
AUAACGACUCUCGGCAACGGAUAUCUCGGCUCUCGCAUCGAUGAAGAACGUAGCGAACUGCGAUACUUGGUGUGAAUUGCAGAAUCCCGUGAACCAUCGAGUCUUUGAACGCAAGUUGCGCCCGAAGCCAUUUGGCCGAGGGCACGUUUGCCUGGGUGUCAC